CCUGCGGGCCUGUCUGAUGGGAGCGGUUCUACUGUCUGCAAUAGAAUUGUGCAUGGGAGUAAAGUGAGCGGGAUACAGCCUCAGGACUGCUGGUGCAAGGAGCUGAUUUGAACUCGUUUCCUGUGGGCUCCUGCUGAGUGAAGAUCUGGGAUCAAAGCCACAUGGAAGGAGGGAGCUCGCUGGCUGCUGUCUUGCACCCUGAAUCAGUUUGAGAUGGAGAAGCAGAGCACUCCAGUUUAUCUGGCUGUUACCCAGCAGAGGCAGGACCUCAACAGGGAGGUCCCCUCUCUUCUUAUCUUGGUGCCAGAGGCCUGUUGCACAGCUGGGUUCAACAUGGUGAAAGAAU